UACGGAGGGAGCUAGCGUUGUUCGGAAUUACUGGGCGUAAAGGGCUCGUAGGCGGCCCGUCACGUCGGGAGUGAAAACUCGGGGCUCAACCCCGAGCCUGCUUUCGAUACGGGCGGACUAGAGGUAGGUAGGGGAGAACGGAAUUCCUGGUGUAGCGGUGGAAUGCGCAGAUAUCAGGAGGAACACCGGUGGCGAAGGCGGUUCUCUGGGCCUUACCUGACGCUGAGGAGCGAAAGCGUGGGGAGCGAACAGG
rnacentral:rRNA from 1 species